CCGAUCCAGUUCCAGAAUCACUUACUCUGAUAUCCUUAAAUUACUUGUUAAUUGACUUACGGAAAUUAGGGAUCUGAUUUGGGUCCCUAAGCUUGUCGAUUUUACCAACAACCAAAGAAAUUGUCCUGACAGAGUAAAUGUAGUUAAUGAGUUCCCCAGGUUCAUUUCCAUGGCAAUCACACAGAGCAAGAUGUACAAAAGGAGAGUGAAUGCUCCUCUACUGUAAACAUGAAACCAGGCUGGACAAACUGGAGAAAACGUUUUUUAACCUUAUUCUCUGCUAAGGUGAUUGUGAACAGUGGGUUGCCUUAGGUCGUGCGCGAACGUCAGAGUCGGAAAGGAAUGGUUCAACUAAACAAUCGACUGACCGCCUAAAGGAAAAUAAAGAAAAACAAAAGUAAAGCAACAAAUAGAAGAAUUAAACACAUCUGCUAUGAACUCCCUGAAUUCCACCCUCCCUCUAAAUACAACUUUUGUGAGUCCCCCGUUUUUUUUCCUUAAUGGUUUGAAUA